UAACGCGAAGAACCUUACCAAAUCUUGACAUCCUUUGACCACUCUGGAGAUAGAGCUUUCCCCUUCGGGGGACAAAGUGACAGGUGGUGCAUGGUUGUCGUCAGCUCGUGUCGUGAGAUGUUGGGUUAAGUCCCGCAACGAGCGCAACCCUUAAGCUUAGUUGCCAUCAUUAAGUUGGGCACUCUAAGUUGACUGCCGGUGACAAACCGGAGGAAGGUGGGGAUGACGUCAAAUCAUCAUGCCCCUUAUGAUUUGGGCUACACACGUGCUACAAUGGACAAUACAAAGGGCAGCUAAACCGCGAGGUCAUGCAAAUCCCAUAAAGUUGUUCUCAGUUCGGAUUGUAGUCUGCAACUCGACUACAUGAAGCUGGAAUCGCUAGUAAUCGUAGAUCAGCAUGCUACGGUGAAUACGUUCCCGGGUCUUGUACACACCGA
rnacentral:rRNA from 1 species